UUCCUGGUGGUCCACGGGUUAGGACUCAGCGCUUUCACUGCUGAGGGCCCAGGUUCGAUCCCUGGUUGAGGAA
rnacentral:tRNA from 1 species